CGAUUCCGGAGAGGGAGCCUGAGAAACGGCUACCAAAAUCCAAGGAAGGCAGCAGGCGCGCAAAUUACCCAUUCCCGACGCGGGGAGGUAGUGACGAAAAAUAACAAUGCAGGACUCGUUCGAGGCCCUGUAAUUGGAAUGAGUACACUUUAAAAGCUUUAACGAGUAUCCAUUGGAGGGCAAGUCUGGUGCCAGCAGCCGCGGUAAUUCCAGCUCCAAAAGUAUAUAUUUAAGUUGUUGCGGUUAAAAAGCUCGUAGUUGGAUUUUGGGCGCAGGCGGCCGGUCCGUCGCAAGGCGUGUACUGGACGUCCUGGCCUUCCCUCCGGUUCUCCGCCGGUGCUCUUGACUGAGUGUCGGCGGCGGCCGGAACGUUUACUUUGAAAAAAUUAGAGUGUUCAAAGCAGGCUCUCGAGCCUGGAUAAUGGUGCAUGGAAUAAUGGAAUAGGACCUCGGUUCUAUUUUGUUGGUUUUCGGAGCGCGAGGUAAUGAUUAAGAGGGACAGACGGGGGCAUUCGUACUGUGCCGUUAGAGGUGAAAUUCUUGGAUCGGCGCAAGACGAACGACUGCGAAAGCAUUUGCCAAGAAUGUUUUCUUUAAUCAAGAGCGAAAGUCAGAGGUUCGAAGACGAUCAGAUACCGUCCUAGUUCUGACUAUAAACGAUGC
rnacentral:ncRNA from 1 species